rnacentral:rRNA from 1 species
CCUACGGGAGGCAGCAGUGGGGAAUAUUGCGCAAUGGGCGAAAGCCUGACGCAGCGACGCCGCGUGAGGGAUGAAGGUCUUCGGAUCGUAAACCUCUGUCAGCAGGGAAGAACGGUUACUGUGCUAAUCAGCAGUGAAUUGACGGUACCUGCAAAGGAAGCACCGGCUAACUCCGUGCCAGCCGCCGCGGUAAUACGGAGGGUCCGAGCGUUAAUCGGAAUUACUGGGCGUAAAGCGCUCGUAGGCGGUAUGUCAAGUCAAGGGUGAAAUCCCCGGGCUCAACGUGGGAACUGCCUUUGAAACUGGCAAACUGGAGUGUGUGUGAGGAUAGUGGAAUUCGAGGUGUAGGAGUGAAAUCCGUAGAUAUCUGGAGGAACAUCAGUGGCGAAGGCGACUAUCUGGCACAUAACUGACGCUGAGGAGCGAAAGCGUGGGUAGCAAACAGGAUUAGAUACCCCUGUAGUC